ACGGGGAGCACCACAACGGGUGGAGCCUGCGGUUUAAUUGGACUCAACGCCGGGCAGCUCACCGGAUAAGACAGCUGAAUGAUAGUCGGGCUGAAGACUCUACUUGACUAGCUGAGAGGAGGUGCAUGGCCGUCGUCAGUUCGUACUGUGAAGCAUCCUGUUAAGUCAGGCAACGAGCGAGACCCACGCCAACAGUUGCCAGCUCGUCCUCCGGGAUGGUGGGGACACUGUUGGGACCGCCUCUGCUAAAGAGGAGGAAGGAAUGGGCAACGGUAGGUCAGCAUGCCCCGAAUUAUCUGGGCUACACGCGGGCUACAAUGGGUGGGACAAUGGGUAUCGACACCGAAAGGUGAAGGCAAUCUCCUAAACCCAUCCGUAGUUCGGAUUGUGGGCUGCAACUCGCCCACAUGAAGCUGGAAUCUGUAGUAAUCGUGUCUCAAAAUGGCACGGUGAAUAUGUCCCUGCUCCUU
rnacentral:rRNA from 1 species